rnacentral:rRNA from 3 species
AAAACCUUUAACAACGGAUCUCUUGGUUCUGGCAUCGAUGAAGAACGCAGCGAAAUGCGAUAAGUAAUGUGAAUUGCAGAAUUCAGUGAAUCAUCGAAUCUUUGAACGCACAUUGCGCCCGCCAGCAUUCUGGCGGGCAUGCCUGUUCGAGCGUCAUUUCAACCCUCAAGCACUGCUUGGCGUUGGGG